GACGAACGCUGGCGGCGUGCUUAACACAUGCAAGUCGAACGGAAAGGCCCUGCUUUUGUGGGGUGCUCGAGUGGCGAACGGGUGAGUAACACGUGAGUAACCUGCCCUUGACUUUGGGAUAACUUCAGGAAACUGGGGCUAAUACCGGAUAGGAGCUCCUGCUGCAUGGUGGGGGUUGGUAAGUUUCGGCGGUUGGGGAUGGACUCGCGGCUUAUCAGCUUGUUGGUGGGGUGGUGGCUUACCAAGGCUUUGACGGGUAGUCGGCCUGGGAGGGUGACCGGCCACAUUGGGACUGAGAUACGGCCCAGACUCCUACGGGAGGCAGCAGUGGGGAAUAUUGCACAAUGGGCGGAAGCCUGAUGCAGCAACGCCGCGUGCGGGAUGACGGCCUUCGGGUUGUAAACCGCUUUCGCCUGUGACGAAGCGUGAGUGACGGUAAUGGGUAAAGAAGCACCGGCUAACUACGUG
rnacentral:rRNA from 1 species